rnacentral:rRNA from 1 species
UAAACUUGAAUUUUGUUUAAUGUUAAAUUUUUAAUUAUAUUUUUAAUAAAUAUAUAUAUUUAUAGUAUAAUGUAUAGAAUUAAUAUUUAAAAUUUAUAAUUUAAGUACUGUCAAGGAGAAUUAUCAAUAUUUUUUAAGAAGAUAUAAUUUGUUGUACCUUUUGUGUCAGGGUUUAUUAAUUUAAAUUUACAUAUGUAAAUUUCCCGAAAUUUAAAGAUUUACAUUUAUAUUUUUGUUUAAAUUUUAUAUUAAUAUUUAAUAUAAAUGUAGUGGUUAAAUGCUUUUCAAUUUAAAUAUAUCUGGUUUUUCUUGAAUUGAAUUUAAUUCAAAAAUUAUUUAUUUUUAAUAUAAAUUAAUUUAUAUUAUAGAUAAUUUAAAUAAUUAAAGGGAUAAGCUUUUAAUUAAUUUUAAAAUUUAUGAUUAUAUUUAAAAAUUUAUUUAGGAUUAGUAUUUUCUUUUAUUAUAUUUUUAUAAAAAUAAUUUUUAAUUUAUUUAUUUUAUUUAAUUUAAAAUUUUAAGGAAGUUUUUUAUUUAACUAAAGUUUAAAGGUAACAAUGAUAAAAUUAGUAAAUUUAAUAAUUAAAUUUAGGAAUUCGGCAAAUAAACUUUCCGACUGUUUAAUAAAAACAUUUUUUUUUGUUUUUAUAAAAAAUAUAACCUGCCCUAUGAUUAAAAGUUAAAUGGCCGCGAUUUUAUCGUGCAAAGGUAGCAUAAUAAUUUGUCCUUUAAAUGAGGUCUAGAAUGAAAGGUUGAACGAGAGAGUAGCUUUCUUAUUUUAAUUUUAUUGAAUUUUAUUUUUUGGUUAAAAAGCUAAAAUGAAUUUAUGGGACGAUAAGACCCUAUAGAAUUUAAUUAACCUUAUAAGAUAUAGUUUUUAUUUUUAAUUUUAUAUCUUAUAAGGUUAAUUUAGUUGGGGCGACUAUUAUAUUUGAUAUACUAUAUUUUUAUAUUUUUCAUUGUUUUAUGAAAAUUUGAUCCUGAAUUUUAGAUUAUAAGAAUAAAUUACCUUAGGGAUAACAGCGUAAUCUUCUUGGGGAGUUCUCAUUUAUAAGAAGGUUUGCGACCUCGAUGUUGGAUUAAAAUUAAUUUAUAAUGCAGGAGUUAUAAUUUUAAGUCUGUUCGACUUUUAAAAUUUUACAUGAUCUGAGUUAAGACCGGCGUAAGCCAGGUUGGUUUCUAUCUAUAAUAUUUUAAUAUACUUUAGUACGAAAGGACCAAGUAUAACAAAUAUUUUGAUUGUUUUGGCAGAAUUUA